rnacentral:rRNA from 1 species
AUACGGAGGAUGCGAGCGUUAUCCGGAUUUAUUGGGUUUAAAGGGUGCGUAGGCUGUGCGUUAAGUCAGGGGUGAAAUGCCGUCGCUCAACGACGGAGCUGCCCUUGAUACUGGCGUGCUGGAGUACGGAUGCCGUUGGAGGAAUGAGUGGUGUAGCGGUGAAAUGCUUAGAUAUCACUCAGAACACCGAUUGCGAAGGCAUCUGACGAAUCCGUCACUGACGCUGAUGCACGAAAGUGUGGGGAUCAAACAGGAUUAGAUACCCUGGUAGUCCACACUGUAAACGAUGAUAACUCGCUGUCGGCGAUACAUAGUCGGUGGCCAAGCGAAAGCGAUAAGUUAUCCACCUGGGGAGUACGACCGCAAGGUUGAAACUCAAAUGAAUUGACGGGG